rnacentral:rRNA from 1 species
CCUACGGGGGGCUGCAGUGGGGAAUAUUGGACAAUGGGGGCAACCCUGAUCCAGCCAUGCCGCGUGUGUGAAGAAGGCCCUCGGGUUGUAAAGCACUUUCAGUGAGGAAGAACGCCUGGUGGUUAAUACCCAUCAGGAAAGACAUCACUCACAGAAGAAGCACCGGCUAACUCCGUGCCAGCAGCCGCGGUAAUACGGAGGGUGCGAGCGUUAAUCGGAAUUACUGGGCGUAAAGCGCGCGUAGGUGGCUUGAUAAGCCGGUUGUGAAAGCCCCGGGCUCAACCUGGGAACGGCAUCCGGAACUGUCAAGCUAGAGUGCAGGAGAGGAAGGUAGAAUUCCCGGUGUAGCGGUGAAAUGCGUAGAGAUCGGGAGGAAUACCAGUGGCGAAGGCGGCCUUCUGGACUGUCACUGACGCUGAGGUGCGAAAGCGUGGGUAGCAAACAGGAUUAGAUACCCCAGUAGUC